UGAGGCACGAAAGCGUGGGGAGCAAACAGGAUUAGAUACCCUGGUAGUCCACGCCGUAAACGAUGAGUACUAAAUGUUGGGUAAAACCAGUGUUGAAGUUAACACAUUAAGUACUCCGCCUGAGUAGUACGUACGCAAGUAUGAAACUUAAAGGAAUUGACGGGACUCCGCACAAGCGGUGGAUCAUGUUGUUUAAUUCGAAGGUACCCGAAAAACCUCACCAGGUCUUGACAUGCUUCUGCAAAGCUGUAGAAACACAGUGGAGGUUAUCAGUUGCACAGGUGGUGCAUGGUUGUCGUCAGCUCGUGUCGUGAGAUGUUGGGUUAAGUCCCGCAACGAGCGCAACCCUUAUUGUUAGUUGCCAGCACGUAAUGGUGGGGACUUUAGCAAGACUGCCAGUGAUAAAUUGGAGGAAGGUGGGGACGACGUCAAAUCAUCAUGCCCCUUAUGACCUGGGCUACAAACGUGAUACAAUGGCUGUUACAA
rnacentral:rRNA from 1 species